AUAUGGGCUGUAUGACCAUCAUGUGAUGACAAAGCUCUAUACUGUAAUUGUAUUUUCAAUUCAAUAACGCUAAACCGUAAAUGUAAUAACCUACUAAUACCUGGUAUAUGUUAAUCAUCAAUUAGAGAGUCUAUUUGUUUAACAUAGAAGGUGAACGUCAUUUGCAUUUUUUACUGCUCUAGAAUAUGUAGUACUUCUAAGUUGUAGAUUAACAUUAUUAUUUUUUUUUUUUUUUGUAAACUGAUACUGGUAAUAGGCGUGCCACAGUUAGAGGAGUGAUAUUAGAAAUUUAGGAAACAUACAUUUAUUUAAUUUGUAUCAGUAUACAACGAUAAACCAUAGUUAAUGAAAAAUGAAUCUGAGAGAAGUUCUGUAAUACAAUAAUAAAUGUUUCUUAAAUGUCGUAAUUAUUACGAUUUUCGUUAAAAUUAUACUUAUGAAAAAGACUGCUACACCGGUACAUUACGCUCAAUAGCUAAACGUAUUUCUUUUUUUUACCACUAAGUACAACUUAUAAUGAACCUUGUGUUAAAUUUUAAUGUUAAAAAGUAUUUCUGUUAAGCCAAACAAUUGCAUCCACAUAAAAUCAAAUAAAAUCUAAAUAAAAAAUAAAAAUGUCAAAUGAUUAUAAAUAACUUAAAAAUCGUC